rnacentral:misc_RNA from 1 species
CUGUACAGAAAAAUGAGAUCAUCAAACAUUUUGCAAAUGGAUCAAUAACUGCACUUGUAAGGUCUUCCCAAAAUACAAUUAUCAAGGCUGCUAUUUAUCAAUCAAGCAAAGGAGUAUACUUUACAAAAUAAAAUCCAGAACAAUCUGGGGAUAUAUAAAAUAACUACAGAUUGCAAGUAAAACUAAAGGGACUGCCUGCAAGCCAAUGAAUCAGAAAAAAUGGAACAUCAGAAAAAAUGAUAAUGUCAGGAAACAAAAGGAGAGAGAGACCAUAAAAUAUACAAGUUUGAGAAUAUACGGCAAAUCUCCAGAGCAUUUGGCAUGCAGUCAAAUGUGCUCAUGUAUAUCUCUUUCUCAUCAGCAGUAGUUCAAAUACUUCAGAUAGAAAUCCCUCUCCAGCCAGUGAACUCUGCAAUUCUAAGACAUAUUCUAGCCUUUAAACUAAACUCAAAACGUUGUGCUAGUUGAUAAUGUAAAUGGUUUGCGUAAACAAUAGCAAAACUUCACAUCAAACCCACUUAGCGAAUAUAUACUCAUAAUCCCAUGAAGAAAACCCACUUAGUGAAUAUACACUCAUAAUCCCAAGAAGAAACACCCAUCACGUCUGGCAUUACCAAAAAUAACCUCUUCCCUUCUGCUAAUCUUAGAGACCAAAGGAAAUAGUUGAGAAGUUUCAACAUCCAAUUGGCAUCACACCAAUUCUGAAGGAGAGCAAGCAAGCACUU